rnacentral:rRNA from 1 species
UGGUCUGAGAGGAUGAUCAGCCACACUGGGACUGAGACACGGCCCAGACUUCUGCGGGAGGCAGCAGUGGGGAAUAUUGGACAAUGGGCGAAAGCCUGAUUCAGCAAUGCCGCGUGUGUGAAGAAGGCCCUAGGGUUGUAAAGCACUUUCAGUGGGGAAGAAAAGCAGGGUGCCAAUACCACCCUGUCAUGACGUUACCCAUAGAAGAAGCACCGGCUAACUCCGUGCCAGCAGCCGCGGUAAUACGGAGGGUGCGAGCGUUAAUCGGAAUUACUGGGCGUAAAGGGCGCGUAGGCGGCUCGAUAAGUUGGAUGUGAAAGCCCCGGGCUCAACCUGGGAAUUGCGUUCAAUACUGUCGGGCUGGAGUGUGGUAGAGGGAAGUGGAAUUUCCGGUGUAGCGGUGAAAUGCGUAGAUAUCGGGAGGAACACCAGUGGCGAAGGCGGCUUCCUGGAUCGCCACUGACCCUGAGGCGCGAAAGCGUGGGGAAAAAACAGGAUUAGAUUCCCUGGUAGUC